rnacentral:tRNA from 1 species
GGUGGCGUAGCUCAACGGAAGAGCACUGGAUUGUCUAUCCAACGGUUGCGGGUUCGACUCCCGUCGCUACCGCCA